rnacentral:lncRNA from 1 species
AAGCACACAAUAUAUUCCUAGGAGAAUUGUUGUGUCAUAGAAUAUGAGUGUCUCAGCUUUAUUGAUAAUGCAAACUAAGUUCCAAAGUGGUUAUGCCAACUUACACUGUUACUAGAAGUGUAUGAGAGCUCCUGUUGCUUCUUAUCCUGACCAACCUCAAAUUUUUCUAAUUUUCAAAAAUCUGGUAUGUAUACAUUGGUAUCCCACUAGUCUAAAUAACCCUAAUUAGGAAGGAAGCUGAAUACUUUUUUCAUAUAUUUUAUCAACCAUUUAGAUAUCCCUUAUUAUGAAAUGGUGAAAUGCCCUUCACUUUUCUUGCCCUUUUUUCUAUAGGGUAGUCUUUUUUUUUAAGAAGUUCUUUAUUCUGGAUACUAGUAUGUACUUGAUUGAUGUUACAGGUUGCAAAAAUCUUCUAUUCUGUGCCUUUUCUUUUUGUACUGUCUUUUGACACUUUAAAAAAAAAAAUUUUUAGGACAGCCUCUUGAUCAGAAGGGAGCCUAAAGGCCCACCCUUGGAGAGAAAGGCCAUCAUGAAGGGUAAAGCCUCCAAGCGGGGAGAGAACAGCAUUGGAGCUGGUACCAAGCGUGCCACGAAGCUGGCCGUGUGCUCAGCAAGUACUGGCAGAGCCUGGAGUGAUGAGUGGGGUGGCUUUCUCAGGUAGUGGAGCAGAAAAGAUAGCUGUUUGCUAAAAAUUAUUAUCCCAGAGCACCCCCUUAUGGCAAACACACUAAUGCAAGUGCUUCUGUAGGAAAAGUAAAAAAAAGUGUUUCAAACCUUCAGUAUACAGAGGUAAAUAUUGCUUUUCCACUCUUAAGAUCUUCAUUUUUCUUUCUUUUCUUUUUUUUUUAAUUUUUUUAAUGUUUAUUUAUUUUUGAGAGAGACAGAGACAGAAUGCGAGUGGGUUAGGGACAGAGAGAGAGGGGGACACAGACUCCAAAGCAGGCUCCAGGCUCUGAGCUGUCAGCACAGAGCCCAACGCGGGGCUCGAACUCAGGAGCUGUGAGAUCACGACCUGAGCCGAAGCGGAGCUGAAGUCAGACGCUCAACCGACUGAGCCACCCACGUGCCCCUCUUUUUUUUUUUUUUUAAUAUAAGCUCUAUGUCCAGUGUGGGACUUGAACUCACAACCCCAAGACCAAGAGUCACAUGAACUACUGACUGAGACAGCCAGGUCCCCCUUUUCUUUAUUUUUGUUGGGAAAUUAGAAAUCAUCUUGCCACUCAAAAGAACAGUCUCAUUUCACUUCAUAGAUAGAUUUAUUUACUACUUCAAAAAUAAUUUCUUUCAUGCUAGAACAUGGAAUCCUAUACUUUAGAUUCACCCAAUAAUGGCAAACCUAAAUUAACCCAGUUUUUAUACUU